rnacentral:misc_RNA from 1 species
UGUGGGAGGGGGCUUGCCCCCGAUAGCGGUGUGUCAGUCACAGCUAUACAGACUGAUAAACAGCUAUCGGGGGCAAGCCCCCUCCCACU